CGCAUGGCUCAAACCAUUUAGCUUUUUAAGGUUCAACUAUGUAAAGCCUGUCUAAAGUCAUCGUCAUUUGUGAUGUCCUGUUCUAGUAUCACCCCUUCAGAGGGACUAAUAUGCAAUACUGACAUGGUAGGUUCUUUUGGUUUGUUGUUUUUGUCCAAAUCUGUUAGGCACGAUUGAUGAAAUCAUCAAAUAAAACCCAUUUGAUAAUGCACGUUAUUUACAAAAGCCCCAUACCUGGAGUCAUUGGGUAAUACUCGUCAAUGUUGUGACUCGGUGCGGGAACGAUUUCUGGGAUGGAUUCGUUGACAUUUAUACCCUCAUUAUGGCCUGUAACGCGGAAGUUAUAUGCAAUGUUGUGUUUAUACCAGAAUGAAGGUCAACAAGACGGGGUAGAGGGUAUACCUGGACUUCCUUGGGGAUGUAGAUCAACAAGAGGUGGUAGAGGUCAACAUGAGAAGAUCAAAUACGAACUAUUUGAUAAUGCACGUUAUUUACAAAAGCCCCAUACCUGGAGUAAUUGGGUAAUACUCGUCAAUGUUGUGACUCGGUGUGGGCACGAUUUCAGGGAUGGAUUCGUCGACAUUUAUACCCUCGUUAUGGCCUGUAACACGGUAGUUAUAUGCAAUGUUGUGUUUACACCAGAAUGAAGGUGAACAAGACGGGGUAGAGGUAAACCUGGACUUCCUUGGGGAUGUAGAUCAACAAGAGGGGGUAGAGGCCAACAUGAGAAGCCAGAGUAGAGGUCCAUUUCAAAGUCAACGUACAGGAGGACAAAGCUACCAACUGCUUACAGGAAAAGCUUGAACCUGGUCGAGCUGGGAACACUGAUAAAGAAAAGGUGUAAUUUAGCUUUGCGUAAAAUUCAGA